CGACGAGUGGUUGAAAUUGUAUUUUUGGCAGAACAACUUUAUUGAGGAUGCAUUACAUGUCAUCAGCCAUUGCAUCUGAAAGACAUUUUAGAUGAACAACAUUUUGGUUUGGGAAGCCUUUUUAGCAUUAUUUGCUCCUCAUGCAAAAAUGUUACCCAAAUUUCAUAAGGGGAAAGACACACAAGUACUUAUGGCGUAGGAGAAUGAGUCAAAAGAAAAGCAUCAUACACAUGGGAUGUCAAUACAAAGCUUGCUUCAGGAAUGUUAUAUACUGGUUUAGGUUCAUCUUCUGUGAAUGCAUUGCUUGCAUGUUUAAAUAUCCCUGGUAUCUCCCCUAUGUCACUGGAGGCAAGAGAAAGGGAAGUUGGAGCAAAAGUUGAACAUAUUGCUAGAAAGUUUUGUGAGGAGUAUGCUGCCCAAGAAAUGGAAAUUUGUAAAGAUGAGGGGGUAGAAGUAUCCUUUGAUGCAGGCUGGAAGAAGCGUGGUAGUGGAAGAUCAUACAACAGCUUAUCAGGU